UACAGAGGUGGCAAGCGUUGUUCGGAUUUACUGGGCGUAAAGGGUGCGUAGGCGGUUUCGUAUGUCGGAUGUGAAAGACCUCGGCUCAACCGAGAAAUUGCAUUCGAAACUGCGGAACUAGAGUACUGGAGAGGUAAGUGGAAUUCUCGGUGUAGCGGUGAAAUGCGUAGAUAUCGAGAGGAACGCCGGUGGCGAAGGCGACUUACUGGACAGAUACUGACGCUGAGGUGCGAAAGCGUGGGGAGCAAACAGG
rnacentral:rRNA from 1 species